GGUCUUCUAGGCCCGACCUCCAACCCUAUGUUUAUUGAACCUCUGUUGCUUCGGCGGGCCCGUCUCACGACCGCCGGAGGAGUCGCCGCGAGGCGGCCCUCUGGCCAGCGCCCGCCGACGGCCAAAUUCAAACUCUGAAUAAAUCGUGUCAUGAUGUCUAAGUCUAUGAUUAAAUUAACGCAAAACUUUCAACAACGGAUCUCUUGGUUCUGGCAUCGAUGAAGAACGCAGCGAAAUGCGAUAAGUAAUGCGAAUUGCAGAAUUCCAGUGAGUCAUCGAAUCUUUGAACGCACAUUGCGCCCUUUGGUAUUCCGAAGGGCAUGCCUGUUCGAGCGUCAUUAUCACCCCUCAAGCCCCGUGCUUGGUGUUGGACGGCCGGUCGAGCGAUUCGACCCCUCCGAAAGACAAUGACGGCGGCCUGUGGUUCCCCCGGUACACUGAGCUUUUCACGGAGCACGUAUCGGACGAGGGCGCCCAGGACCCCGGUCCUUUCUCCUCUCAGCAGGAAACUUCUCAAGGUUGACCUCGGAUCAGGUAGGAAUACGCGCUGAACUUAAGCAUAUCAAUAAGCGCAGGAAAAGAAACCAACAGGGAUUACCUCAGUAACGGCGAGUGAAGCGGUAACAGCUCAAAUUUGAAAUCUGGCCUCUCGGGGUCCGAGUUGUAAUUUGUAGAGGAUGUUUUGGGUACCGCCCCGGUCUAAAUUUCUUGGAACAGGAUGUCAAAGAGGGUGAGAAUCCCGUCUUGGACCGGCGGUAGGGCCUGUGUAAAACUCCUUCGACGAGUCGAGUUGUUUGGGAAUGCAGCUCAAAAUGGGUGGUAAAUUUCAUCUAAAGCUAAAUAUUGGCCAGAGACCGAUAGCGCACAAGUAGAGUGAUCGAAAGAUGAAAAGCACUUUGAAAAGAGAGUUAAACAGUAUGUGAAAUUGUUGAAAGGGAAGCGCUUGCAACCAGACUUGAGCGCGGCGGUUCCCCCGGUCUUUUGGCCGGGCUACUCCGUCGUGUCCAGGCCAACAUCGGUUCUGAGGGUCGGUCAAAGGCUCUGGGAAUGUAUCUACCCACGGGUAGACGUAUAGACCAGGGUGUCAUGCGGCCUCUCGGGACCGAGGAACGC
rnacentral:rRNA from 1 species